AGAAUCAACGCUGGCGGCGUGCCUAACACAUGCAAGUCGAACGCGGUUUGCCCGCAAGGGCAGACUGAGUGGCGAACGGGUGAGUAACACGUGGGUGACCUACCUUCGAGUGGGGGAUAACGUCCCGAAAGGGACGCUAAUACCGCAUAACAUCCUGCCUUUGAACAGGCGGAGAUCAAAGCCGGGGAUCGCAAGACCUGGCGCUUGAUGAGGGGCCCGCGUCCGAUUAGCUAGUUGGUGAGGUAACGGCUCACCAAGGCGACGAUCGGUAACC
rnacentral:rRNA from 1 species